rnacentral:rRNA from 1 species
AUUGAACGCUGGCGGCAGGCCUAACACAUGCAAGUCGAGCGGAUGAAGGGAGCUUGCUCCUGGAUUCAGCGGCGGACGGGUGAGUAAUGCCUAGGAAUCUGCCUGGUAGUGGGGGAUAACGUCCGGAAACGGGCGCUAAUACCGCAUACGUCCUGAGGGAGAAAGUGGGGGAUCUUCGGACCUCACGCUAUCAGAUGAGCCUAGGUCGGAUUAGCUAGUUGGUGGGGUAAAGGCCUACCAAGGCGACGAUCCGUAACUGGUCUGAGAGGAUGAUCAGUCAAAAGAGAACAGAGAAAAGGUACAGACUCAUGCGGGAGGCAGCAGUGAGGAAUAUUGGACAAAGGGCGAAAGCCUGAUCCAGCCAUGCCGCGUGUGUGAAGAAGGUCUUAGGAUUGUAAAGCACAUUAAGUUGGGAGGAAGGGCAGUAAGUUAAUACCUUGCUGUUUUGAAGUAACCAACAGAAUAAGCACCGGCUAACUUCGUG